CCUACGGGGGGCAGCAGUGGGGAAUAUUGGACAAUGGGCGCAAGCCUGAUCCAGCCAUGCCGCGUGUGUGAUGAAGGCCUUAGGGUUGUAAAGCACUUUUGUCCGGGAAGAUAAUGACUGUACCGGAAGAAUAAGCCCCGGCUAACUUCGUGCCAGCAGCCGCGGUAAUACGAAGGGGGCUAGCGUUGCUCGGAAUCACUGGGCGUAAAGGGCGCGUAGGCGGACUUUUAAGUCGGGGGUGAAAGCCCAGGGCUCAACCCUGGAAUUGCCUUCGAUACUGAGAGUCUUGAGUUCGGAAGAGGUUGGUGGAACUGCGAGUGUAGAGGUGAAAUUCGUAGAUAUUCGCAAGAACACCAGUGGCGAAGGCGGCCAACUGGUCCGAUACUGACGCUGAGGCGCGAAAGCGUGGGGAGCAAACAGGAUUAGAUACCC
rnacentral:rRNA from 1 species